rnacentral:lncRNA from 1 species
AUGAUGUCAGUUAUUAGAGAACGUAUGGAUGAGGAGGCAAGCCUCAAAGCUCUUGGGUUUAUCAGAACAAUGUCAGGCAUUAAAAGAAGAUCCAGACUUACCUCCCACAUCCAAGUCCACCUUAUAGUUGACAAAAUGGGUGUGGAUCGUACCCAGGGUGUGCUCCCAAAGCCUAUUGCCGUAUCUCAGGCCAUCCCCGUGAAGAAAGGAGGAGCUUGGGUAGCCUGUGGCCUGCACCUUGCCCUCCAUGGCCCCGUUCUGGUAGAAGAUGAAGUCCCACACGUAGUCAUAGUUGCCCACGGUGGCAAUGGACCGAACGACCAGAGCCGAGUUGACCAGCCCCCCGUAGUAGAGCGACUGCAAGUUGGAGUAGUGGCGCCUCAGAGGGGAGCCCAGGUUCUGCUCAAAGAUGCAGAGCGAAGCCUUCCUCCUCUUGGGCCUCAGGCUGGCGGACAGAGAGUGCGUGUCCACGUAGGUGGCCGAGUACGGGCAGUCCACCCCUCGCACCAAGGGGGAGGUGUAGCGGCCCAGGCCAAAGCUCCCGUCCAUGUAGCGUGUGGACAUCCCUGCCGGGCAGUUGGAGCCGUACACCGACAGCGCCUCCUGGACGCUGAUUUCGUAGGCAACCCUCUCCCCCCUGUGCCGGAUGUCAAACAGCCGCAGGCCUGUGCUCACACUCAUCCCAAAGGCAAANNNNNNNNNNNNNNNNNNNNCGUACGCACUCUCCAGCUGAGCCAUGUCUCUGUAGUACUGCCCAUUGUAGAAGACCCUGCUCACAGCCCACUGCGAGAUGUCCAGGCUGCUGUGGUCCACCAGCACCUCCAGCCCCACCGGGUGCACAAAGAAUCCACUCACGUUCUGAAACAGGACAAACCAGGUGACCCGAUCUCCAGACUGGAAUCCAUGAGGGACUGUGGUCUGAAACACGAUGUUGGUUCCAUCGUAUUCAAGGACUUCUUGCAGGAAGGUUGGUGCUGCAGCAAACGCCUUCAUCUCCAAGAACACUCCCAGCUGCUCGUACUCGCUGCCCAGCGUCGGUCUGCGGUGGUACAGCACCUUCCCCCCGUACUUCUGCACCGUCACGUCUCGGUGGUACGCCGGCGUCGGCAGCGGCCCCACCACGUACUCGGUGAUGUUGGGGUCUGGCUGGUUCCCAAAGUACAGCACAGCCAGCGCCUCUCGGCGGGGACGAGCCCCCGCGCCGUCCAGGAACCGCAGCACCUCUGCCUUGCCGGGCACCUGCACAUCCACCGAGGCGAUGCAGUUGUCCGAGGGUUUAGCGCGGGAUGCAGUUGUCCGAGGGUUUAG